rnacentral:rRNA from 1 species
CCUACGGGAGGCAGCAGUGGGGAAUAUUGCGCAAUGGGCGAAAGCCUGACGCAGCGACGCCGCGUGAGGGAUGAAGGUCUUCGGAUCGUAAACCUCUGUCAGCAGGGAAGAACGGUCACUGUGCUAAUCAGCCGUGAAUUGACGGUACCUGCAAAGGAAGCACCGGCUAACUCCGUGCCAGCAGCCGCGGUAAUACGGAGGGUGCGAGCGUUAAUCGGAAUUAGUGGGCGUAAAGCGUUCGUGGGCGGCAAGGUAAGUCUGAUGUUAAAGCCCGGGGCUCAACUCCGGUUCGGCAUUGGAUACUAGCUAGCUAGAAUGUGGUAGAGGUAAAUGGAAUUCCUGGUGUAGCGGUGAAAUGCGGAGAUAUAAGGAGGAACAUCGGUGGCGAAAGCGCUUUACUGGACCAUUAUUGACGCUGAGGAACGAAAGCCAGGGGAGCAAAUGGGAUUAGAUACCCCUGUAGUC